CUAGAGCCGAUUUACGCAAUCGAAUACCGCCGGAAGUAGAACAUUUAUGUCAACACCAGUUUCGUAUUUUCACGUGAAAACGGCCGAAAACUGAGAGGUUAUCAACAAAUUAUAAGUUUACGGGUACCAUGAGGAUUUUUCAUGCAUUUAAACGAAAGAAGUACAAGCGAACAGAUGACACAUUAAAGUGGCUGCAGAAGCUUGAAAAGUUAGAUAGAGCAGGGGCAGUCAAAACAGUGGGAUAAUACUUCUAUGGUGUCCAACAUGUCUAGUCAGGUUGACAUAAGUGAAAGAUGGUCUGAUGGUACAAUGAUGUACAAAUGAUACUCUUUAACAAGUUGAACAUGUCAAGGCUAAUAUAAUGCCAGUUAUUAAAAUUACAUUCCCCUAAACAUUUAACAUAUACACAUUGUAAAUGUCAUUAAAAUGAUUUUAUGAAGUUUCAUGAAGGAUGGUACAGCCAGUGUUGAUCUGUAUGACUUAAUUAAACACAGAUAUUGAUACCUUCAGAUAUAUACCUGUGAAAUCUUCAGUGUCACCGUUCAGCUAUUGUUCAAGAUCAGUGUCUGCAGCUUGCACAGUUCAGUGUAGAGGAGCCUUCUGAAUCCACUUUGUUACAUAUUUGCUGUUAUUGUAGGACACGCAUGUAGAGAGCAGCAAGUCCUGUCCAGCCGUGCAUGUAAAUGUGAUUCAGAAACUUUGAGAAUAUGUAAACAUUACACUGUUAUAAUUUUCAAAAUACUGUGUCUUGUAGUGUAUCAGUACUGUUUUGUCUCAGUUUAUAGCACAGUAGUUCACAAAUCAAACAUAAGACCAUAGUGAUCAGUAUUAUUAAAAUCAUUAAUUAUUUGUAUGGUGACAAAAUUUAAUUUCGUGCAAUACCACAGUAAAACGUUUGAUAAUUUUCGCUUUUAAAGUUGUAAGUUUAAGGUUGGCAUAAUUUUUUUUUUCUUUCAUAAAUCUAAAAAGUGAUUGGUCAUUAUAACUGCAAUAUUAUUUUAGUAUGACAAAGUUUAUAUUGAACUAAAACACUAAUGUAAAUUUUUGAACUAAUCAAUGCAUUUUCUUCAGUCUUAAAACAUUUGUUUAUCGUACGUGUCAUGGCCCAUAACUCCUCCAUAUUACUUGUGUUUUGUCCUUUUUCAUUUCACUGAAGAAUAGGUAGAGGUAUUGCACAUCCAUUUUUUAGCAUCCUGAUUUUGUAGAGUGUUGUAUGUAAGGUUUUAUCUCGAAAUUAUGUCUCAUCUAAAGGUGGGGAGAGGUAUUAAUUAUGCCUUCUCGUCUAUCCGCAUUAAGCCUGUCUGGCUUUAAGAGGACAAGCUGCUGGCAAGAUUUUGAUGAAACUUCACAGGACUGAUCAGUACCAAGCAUAGUGUUGUGCAUAUCGCUUGCAUGUUUCGUUUUGAUGCACUAAAUUGCAGCCAUAGCUAAAAAUAGAAAAAUCUUGUCGGUUUUCACAGGUUAAAACUACUUAACAGAUUUUGAUGAAACUUCACAGGAGUGAUCAGUACCAAGUAUAUUUUUGCAUAUCACCGACACUUUCCAUUUUGCUGCACAAAAUAGCCGCCACAGCUAAAGGUAUACAUAGGUGGGAGACAUGUUUUGUCAUAAAAAUGCCUAAAGCACCUUCCACUUUGUUAAUGAAAAAUGUAACAAACGUCUUACAAUUGCAAACUGUAAUAAUUUGACAUUAAAUGCACUAGUUCCAUAACUGCAUUUGGCUUUUUUCAUAAUUAUUGCCCUUUUCUUACCAUAGCAAUAUUUUGUGUAACAUGUUACCUCAUUAAGCAUCAUAAGAUCAGAAAGUUCUAUGAUUCAGACAUGUUGGCCCUUUUUUACUUGUCAUGAGUAUGUUUUCAGUAUUUUAAAUUGUCAUUACUUUUUGUUGUGCCAGUUUACGGAAAUGAAGACUUAGUUGUCCAAAUGGUGUGCCUGUGCCUGUCGUGAUUUGUUUGUCUGGACAAUAUAUUAUUGAUUAGUCUUCACGAAACUUUGCAUGUUAAUUUCCUUAAGUUCCCUGUCAACUUGGAUAGUGGCACGGUUACUUUAGAAACACUACAGUGAUGUAACCACUGUACUAGUCAAACGUUUUGUAUUUCAGAUUUUAUAUCACAUUACAGGCUACUGGUCUUCAGCAGCCUCCAUAAAACUUUCAUAAAGUUUCCAAAAAUGUUGUAUUUUGAUUUGAACUGGCAUUAUUCAAACAGUAAGAAGUAGUACUAUAAGGCAACAUUUGACCUCUUUUCGAGUAAUUUUUGAUUUUCUCUGUUACUAUGAAAGUGCCUUUUCCUAGAAAUUGGUUGGCUUAUUUUUGAUGAUCUUAUGUUUUUAAUCAAUUGUGGCUAUGUUCUUUAUCUCAUGAAAAUUUCCAUUUUUGUAUAAUUCAUAUUUUUUACUGUCAACAAAGUGCAAUACCACAUACUUAUCACUUUCAUUAACAUACCUGUACUAUUUUCAUAAAACAUUAUAUAAAUCAUUAUAUAAAUCAUUAUAUUUCAUAUAAACAGAAUUAAAUAAAUAUUUAAGAACA